rnacentral:rRNA from 1 species
UGAGCAAUCUGCCCUUCUCAUCGGAAUAAGCGUUGGAAACGACGUCUAAUGCCGAAUACGACCUCCUUUCGCAUGAUCGGAGGUGGAAAGCUCCGGCGGAGAAGGAUGAGCUCGCGGCCUAUCAGCUAGUUGGUGUGGGUAAUGGCCCACAAGGCGACGACGGGUAGCCGGCCUGAGAGGGUGACCGGCCACACUGGGACUGAGACACGGCCCAGACCUCCGUACGGGAGCAG